CUACCUAAGAAAGGAACUUGUAGGACUGUGAAAUACAGUGACCUCAAAAGUUCAAAGCAUGAAAAGACUCUACUUCAUUGCCUCUGCUCUGGACAAACCUUGGUUCUUAGUUUUCCUGGUGGUGAUGAAAAAAUCAACCAAAAUCAAUACCGGUGGAAUAAGGACCUCAAUUAAGUCAGGAACCUUCUUCAUUCAUGUUGGAAAGACUACUGCAAAUAAAGGCAAAACUCCUUCUUCUACGUUCUGAUGUCUGACCCCACCCAGCCGAAGGACACAAGUGAAAACACUGGGUUCCCUGUGUAUGAAUGGGCAAUUAUUGCAUGCUCACCUGUUCUACAGGAAUGGUGUGGACGUAACCCAGUCUCAUGCAACAGAAGAUCACAGCUGAAUAUAGACAGAGAAGACACAUUCUUCAGAGAUUUCAGCUGCUCAACACAUACACAUGGCUUUUCUAAGAGUUUAUGAAGCAGUUGAAUUUCAUCAGUUUUUCCUGAAAGCAGCAAAAAAAGUUUUCCAUCACCUUUACACUUCCCUGUGUCAAAUUUCAAAUGCGUAAAUACUGGGGUGAUUAGAACCUCUCAACAAAAUGGCUGUAUUUUUUAAUUUUUUUUUCAUUAUAUAUAUAUAUAUAUAUACUUUUCCCCAGCUUUGCUUUCGAAAAUGGCAAAGUAAUUUUGGGUUAAACUUUCUAAAAUAUCCAUCCUGAGGGAGACUUUUACAUGAAAAAUUUCUGAUAAAAUGGUUACAGUUUUGGCAAGAUAGAGGAGGUCUAUUAAAAUAUCAAGUCCAAUCUCCAGAGACCAAGUCAUGUUGCUUACUAAAAUGUUUAGAAAUCCAAAGUAUUACACAUAAAUGGUUGUACGAAGCUUAGUGUUCAAUGGACCACAAAAAUAUAAAAUAUGUCAAACAAAGGACAAAGUAGGAGACAUUUCAAAGAGGGUGUUUAAAGAAAUUGUUUAUUGAUUCUAUGUACUUGAAAUCAGUAUAGUGAACCCGCAUAAGCAAAGCUGUUUCAUUGAAAAACUGUUCUAUACAGGAAAUUAGCACAAAAUCAGAUGGUAAGGCACAGGAUUUCUAAUGUCUAUUACAGAGGAAAAAAUACACACUGUAAAGACAUCAGAUCAGAAUUUUGCUUUUCUUAUUGCUGAAUAAAGUACGCUGUAAAUUAAAAUAGUCGCAGAAGUAAAUUUCCAAUUCAGUAUCUACUUUUCUCAAGUAGGAACAUUCCACCUCUUAGGCAGUAUCUUAAACUUUUUCAUUAGAUUUUGACACUGCAUUCAAAACCUGAGAAAAUUGUAUGUAGCUACCUGCUCCGAGUAAAUGGUCUCACUACUCAUUUUCAAAGCAAUAGCUACAACGCUUAUCAGAUAUUUUAGAAGACAAACCCAUGGAUUGUUAAGGUUUCUUAGACACUCUCAAGAGAAAUGUACACAGUUAAAAAGUAAGAAAAGUUUGUUUGGAACUGAAAAAUUAGCAAACUGUGAAAUCCAGCAGCAUACAGCUGAAUGCUGCCAUUGCACGCAUUCUGAGCAUGCUGCCUCCCCACACAGCAACACUUCGCUUAAUUAAUCUGGUCCUAUUAAAGCAGUGAGAGGAGAAAGGAAUCCAUAGAGGGCACACAAGGCUACACCUAUGGGCCAGUCAAGAAACAUCAGCACAAUGAGUCAAAAUAUUCCUCGCAGUUGCAGUCUGCCAUCUGAAACCCAAAGACAUGGAAAAGAAGGGUUAACUGACUGCAAGUGUGUCUCGAGCUAUAUGGAUAAAACUCUCUUCUGUUUGUAAAUCUCAUUUUAGGGGGAGGAAGACAUUUUCAGCAAAGAAAAAUCUGUUUCCUGUGUUUAACAGACGUCUAAUGUAACAAUUAUCAAGUCACAUAUGCCUCCUGGGAAACUUUCUAAGGAGGGUAGGAAAAUAUCAGAUUUGCUUUAAUGAGCAGUUUUCUAGAGAAAAAUUACUAGGAUGUAAAGUUUUAACAGAGCAACGUUCCUUCAACACUUGAGAAAAUAUGGCUAUAGAUGAAGAACACAAUUUUAAUGUUUGGAAUAUAAUAUGUUUGGCAUGCAAUGUGUUAAGAAAACCCCAAGUUGCAGACUAUGUCUGGACCACAAAGCUGCAGAACUACUGGGGUUGUCAACAGGCAACCUAAGAAGGAGACCUUCCAUUGUGCAUUCUCUGGCUUAAUGAGAAACAGGUUGCACACAACUAGUACCAGGUUAAUUGAGUUUACAUAUCUGCUGGUCUUCUCAUUAUCACAUACUCUCUGUGCUGAGCUUUGAGACCAGGAGCUUUAUUUAACAGAUCCAUCAAGCCUAUUAUCCACCAAGACUAUUAACAGUUACCUCCCCAAUGACUGAGAUGUGUUGUGAGCUGUCAGAGCAUUUUAUUUCUGCCUUGUUCAUUCUUUCAGCAGUCUGGAAAACUGCAGAUACGAUUAUAUGUAUGAAAAUGCUACAUAAUCCAAACCACAAUCUGGCAUUUUCUACUAGUCAUAUAAAAUAUCCAGCAGCUAAAUAAACCAAAAAAUAAACUGAUCAUACCCAAA